UGUAGAAAUACAAUGGGGGUUUGAUGUGGAAAGAUGUCUGUACGAAGUUUAUAUAACGGGUUAGAAUGUGGACUUACAUCCACCAGAAGCUUGGGGAUGUCUCGCCAGAACUUAGACAGAAUGCUGGAGAACUACGAUACAGCUUCACAUUAACAUCCACUUGGUUUAACAGAUCGAGAUAGUCCAUCGAAUUCUGACCACUGAUUUGAAACUCAAUGGGAGUAUCAUCCGACACUUGGGAUAUUGGACGAAUCUCUUGAUAAUGGACAUCAUUCACCGCAACUUGUGUAGGAGCUCACUUUUCGCCUGGUUUACUGUCUGUUCCGAUGGGGAAACUGUGCUGAUUGUCAUACCAUUACUUCCCAUCUUCGACUUGUGUGGAAUGGCAAAUCCCCUCCCAACUUGAGAUCAUCCGGGGAUAUCGCCAUAUUGAAAACCCGCCAGAGGUUCGGUCCACGUCCAUGGUGCUCGGGAUGAGUCAUUGGAGGACGAAGAUCGGGUGUCCUUAUGCUGCCAUGAAAUGUCGUUUUUAUGAUGUCCAAUUAUGUUCAAAAAUAAACAACUUGGAGAAUGUG